rnacentral:tRNA from 1 species
UGCGGGGUGGAGCAGUCAGGUAGCUCGUUAGGCUCAUAACCUAAAGGCCGGUAGUUCGAAUCUACCCCCCGCCACCA